AUUGAACGCUGGCGGCAUGCUUUACACAUGCAAGUCGAACGGCAGCGCGGUCUUCGGCCUCUCGUCGGGGUGCGGACUGGUGGGUAAUUCAUCAGAACGUCCGCAGUAGUUUUUGAGAGCGGGGCAACAGCCGGAUAAAUACGCCAUUCGCCCUUACGGUCUAAGCGGGAAACCGGAAGACCUCCGGCUAUUGCGCCAUCGGAUGUCGGAUUAGCUAGUUGGUGGGGUAAAGGCUUACCAAGGCGACGAUCCGUAGCUGGUCUGAGAGGACGACCAGCCACACUGGGACUGAGACACGGCCCAGACUCCUACGGGAGGCAGCAGUGGGGAAUUUUGGACAAUGGGGGCAAGCCUGAUCCAGCCAUGCCGCGUGGGGGAAGAAGGCCUUCGGGUUGUAAACCGCUUUUGUUGGGGAAGAAAUGCUCUGGGCUAAUACCCCGGGGGGAUGACGGUACCGGAAGAAUAAGCACCGGCUAACUACGUG
rnacentral:rRNA from 1 species